rnacentral:misc_RNA from 1 species
GAUGAAGAACGCAGCAAAAUGCGAUACUUGGUGUGAAUUGCAGAAUCCCGUGAACCACCGAGUUUUUGAACGCAAGUUGCGCCCGAAGCCUUUUGGCCGAGGGCACGUCUGCCUGGGCGUCACGCAUCGCGUCGCCCCCCACAAUUCUCCGUAAAAGGAACAUGUGUUUUGGGGGCGGAUAUUGGUCUCCCGUGCUCAUGGCGUGGUUGGCCGAAAUAGGAGUCCUUUCGAUGGACGCACGAACUAGUGGUGGUCGUAAAAACCCUCGUCUUUUGUUUCGUGCUGUUGCUCGCAAGGUAAACUCUUUAAAAACCCCAAUGUGUCGUCUCUUGACGACGCUUCGACCGCGACCCCAGGUCAGGCGGGACUACCCGCUGAGUUUAAGCAUAUCAAUAAGCGGAGGA